rnacentral:rRNA from 1 species
UACGUAGGGUGCGAGCGUUAAUCGGAAUUACUGGGCGUAAAGCGUGCGCAGGCGGUUCGUUAAGUCAGAUGUGAAAGCCCCGGGCUCAACCUGGGAACUGCAUUUGAAACUGGCGGGCUUGAGUGCGGCAGAGGGGGGUGGAAUUCCGCGUGUAGCAGUGAAAUGCGUAGAGAUGCGGAGGAACACCGAUGGCGAAGGCAGCCCCCUGGGCCGACACUGACGCUGAUGCGCGAAAGCCAGGGGAGCGAACGGG